UCUCCGUUGUUGAACCAGCGGAGGGAUCAUUAUCAAAACAGCGGACUUCGGUCCUUGCUGCACCCUUGUCUUUUGCGUACCGUAUGUUUCCUCGGCGGGCUUGCCUGCCGGUUGGACAUUAUCAAACCUUUUUGUAGUUGCAAUCAGCGUCAGAAACAAAACAAUAAUUACAACUUUCAACAACGGAUCUCUUGGUUCUGGCAUCGAUGAAGAACGCAGC
rnacentral:misc_RNA from 1 species